AUGCACGCUGGCGGCGUGCCUCAUACAUGCCAGUCGCGCGAACAGACGAGGAGCUUGCUCCUCUGACGUUAGCGGCGGACGGGUGAGUAACACGUGGAUAACCUACCUAUAAGACUGGGAUAACUUCGGGAAACCGGAGCUAAUACCGGAUAAUAUAUUGAACCGCAUGGUUCAAUAGUGAAAGACGGUUUUGCUGUCACUUAUAGAUGGAUCCGCGCCGCAUUAGCUAGUUGAUAAGGUAACGGCUUACCAAGGCAACGAUGCGUAGCCGACCUGAGAGGGUGAUCGGCCACACUGGAACUGAGACACGGUCCAGACUCCUACGGGAGGCAGCAGUAGGGAAUCUUCCGCAAUGGGCGAAAGCCUGACGGAGCAACGCCGCGUGAGUGAUGAAGGUCUUCGGAUCGUAAAACUCUGUUAUUAGGGAAGAACAAAUGUGUAAGUAACUAUGCACGUCUUGACGGUACCUAAUCAGAAAGCCACGGCUAACUACGUG
rnacentral:rRNA from 1 species